CAUUUUGCCAGUGGUUAUUACUUUGAUUGUCAUAACACUCUCAGUAUUUGUUCUGGUGGGUUUGUAUCGGAUGUGCUGGAAGAAAGAUCCAGGUACACCAGAAAAUGGAAAUGAUCAACCUCAGUCUGAUAAAGAAAGUGUGAAGCUGCUCACGGUUAAGACAAUUUCUCACGAGUCUGGUGAGCACUCUGCACAAGGUAAAACCAAGAACUGACAGCUUGAUGAAUUCUCCCUACACCUGGGCAAUGACUGUGUUUAAACUUCAGCAACUGCAUUCCAGGAAUGGAAAUGGAGGAAGUAUGGCCGAACCAGUCCUGAAUCUCAACCUUGAGCACCAGUCUGCAUGAAUUACCUUUCUGACUCAAGUGGCGAUCUCCACACCACAAGGCAUAUAAUUCGAAGCCCCAAAAAGAAUUCUUGGCUUCCCCUUGUCCUUUGAGAUACAGAAAGAAAAGCAUAUUACCACAGUUUGUAGAGACGUUUCUAAGACAGCACAAUUUAGGAAGGGAUGUUUUGAACAAUGAACCUGAUAACCCAAGUAGGUGGGCUGAGGAUAGAAUCGAUCCAUAGAUUUACAGUUAACAUGGCUGACAGUUUUGAUCCAUGGAAACUUUCCUACUUUCUUGUUGUUAUUACUGGGGUUGUAUUUAUUGUUUUCCACUAUGUUAAUGUAGAGAAAGUUUGCAAGUACGUUUUUAAAUAUUAAGUACAAAUCAUACCGUGCUACUUUGUACAUAGAUGUAUUUUGUUCAUGUUUGCAUAUGUUUAGUUUUAAUAAAUAAUUGUGUUCCAUGCACUAAA